UCCUUCCGGGGGGGGKGCCAGUAGGGAAUCUUCCGCAAUGGGCGAAAGCCUGACGGAGCAAUGCCGCGUGAGUGAUGAAGGUUUUCGGAUCGUAAAGCUCUGUUGCCAGGGAAGAACGCUUGGGAGAGUAACUGCUCUCAAGGUGACGGUACCUGAGAAGAAAGCCCCGGCUAACUACGUGCCAGCAGCCGCGGUAAUACGUAGGGGGCAAGCGUUGUCCGGAAUUAUUGGGCGUAAAGCGCGCGCAGGCGGUCAUUUAAGUCUGGUGUUUAAUCCCGGGGCUCAACCCCGGAUCGCACUGGAAACUGGGUGACUUGAGUGCAGAAGAGGAGAGUGGAAUUCCACGUGUAGCGGUGAAAUGCGUAGAUAUGUGGAGGAACACCAGUGGCGAAGGCGACUCUCUGGGCUGUAACUGACGCUGAGGCGCGAAAGCGUGGGGAGCAAACAGGAUUAGAUACCCCCUG
rnacentral:rRNA from 1 species